rnacentral:tRNA from 1 species
GCCGAGGUGGCGGAACUGGCAGACGCGCUACGUUCAGGGCGUAGUGGGCAGAGCGCUCGUGGGGGUUCGAAUCCCCCCCUCGGCA